UGCUUUUUAAAACAUGCUUAGGUUCC
rnacentral:piRNA from 1 species